UCUCUCAUCUCUCCCACGGCUUCUCUCCCCCUCUCUCUCUCUCUCUCUCUCUCUCUCUCUCUCAUCAAAUUUCUUCCCCAAAUCUCAAAUUAACCAAGGGAUCUUGGAGUAUUCUUCUCCUAGAGUCGAGUUCUAGCCUUUGAUCGCGUUGGAAAGCUCGGAGGAGGUGUUUUCGGGAGAGGUUUUACCUGGAGAUUCUUGGGAUUUUAAUUUCAACCUUCAAGGAAGUUCGAGUCGUCACGUGGAUCGAAGAAGUGACGCGUAGUGUGGCAGAGUGUUUACUUUUGAGAUGCGUUGUAUAUUUGGAAAAGGAAGUUAUGCUUCUUGGUCACUUAGCUUUGUGUAUGAUUUGUUUAGUUUGUAAAUUUGUAAGUAAGCACAGCUCUGAGAGGUUUAUUCUUUUGGUUUGUAAACCUAUGUAAGACUUUGGUUUGUUAUCGAUAAAAGUUAACUUUUGCUUU